UGAAAGACCAGCUCUACACAGGAAAACACCAGGAGCUACUUGGAGUUAGCCUGAAAGACAAAGCCCACAGCUCUACGUUUCAUACGAGAGAGAGAAUCCAACAAUGUGCGACCUAGAGAACACUUUCAGAGAGAAAACUGUGGACAAGCCGGUAGAGAUUAAUGAGAAAGAUGCUGUGGAUGUUACAAUGGAAAAACUGGGGAGCAUUAAACACCACAACCUCACAGUAAACUUCACUGAAGAUUGGCCUCAAGUGCUGAGUCACAAAGAUCCAAAUGAUGAAGUUCUAGAUUUUAAAGUUCGAGAACGUGAAGAUUCAGGCUUUGAAGAUCAAGUUGAUGAAGAGCCUUUGAAGUCACAAAGACAGAUGAAGAGUCCAACAGUGGUUUAAGCUGGAGUGAUGAAGCGUUCAUUGAGGAUUGUUGUCCACUUUGUUCACAUGUUUGCACUGAGCCUGCGGUGCUGCAGUGUGGCCACAGCUUCUGUAACGGCUGUGUGCAAGAAUGUGAGAAGUGGAAAAAGUCUUUUAAAUGUUCACUCUGUAACAAAGUCAACAACAACCCAGAGCUUCCAGUUAAUGUUUCCAUGAUGAGUUUGAGUGAAAGCGACAGAGUUGAUCCAUCAGGAGGACAAAGAAAUGUGCAGCUGCAGCCCCUGAAGUUGUCGACUCCUUCAUCUCCAGAGCUUCCACUGUCUGAAGAUCUGACUGAGGAGACUUCAGUGUUUGGCAAACAUAAAGAAAAUGUUCCCCAUGUGCUCAUCAUUAAAUUUGUUGAAACGUUAGUUGUAACGACUGUUGUCACAUUUGGUGAAGCUGAUGAAGACUGAAACCUUUUUAAGUUCAUUUAACUUCAACAUAAUAACCUUGAUGAGAUAUGAGGGUUAAAUGAGCCUGUGCUCCUUCACGACCCUCUCAAACAUUCCUCCUUAUGAAGAUAACUCCUCAUAUGGUUUCUCUUCGUGUAGUGCAUUAACAGGCUGGUGUUAACUCAUCACGAGCUGGUCUUUUUAUGAAAUGGUUUAUUCUGUUGUCUGUAACAGUAUAUUUUGAGGGUUUUUUUUAUCCCUCUUUCUUUCAGAUAAAAAGUAGCACAGUUUAUGUUAAAUAUUCUCUCGUGUUUUUCCUGUUAGUCUUAUUUAUUUGUAGAUCUUACAUCAUUUAAAGUUCUUUUGGCAGUAUCGUGUGUUUUGUAUGCCGUAAAAGUGACAAAGCACAACUUGGACUUUGCUUCCAUCUUGUGUUCAACAAGCACAGCUACAGUGUGCAGGUCUGAGAGUGUGAAACCAAACUGUGAACUAAUAUGUUUUUAACGUCUUUUCAGUGACUGAUGCCUCGCUAAUGCUUUCAUAUGUAAUAUUCUAUUUUGGUAGAAUCAAUUUCUGUCUUCUAUCGGGAAGGAUGAUUUGAUUAUCUUUUAUGUUUUGGUCUGAAGUUGCAUUAAAUAAAAUGUAAAAGCAAAAAUUAAGACUGGAUAUUUUUAAGAAAGCAGAACCAUUCUGAUCUAAACCCAGACGUUCACUCAGAAGCUUUACUCUUAUCUCACUUUUUUGAGAUAAAUGAUGCUGACGAUGACUAAUAAUAUUAUGGUGAUCCUGUAGACUAGGAAAAUGAUGUUAGUCAGGUCUAAUACAAAUCCAUGAAUCACAGGUUUCAGUAAAAGUGAUAUAAUUUGAUACUAGUGUGAUAACAGAAUAUCACACUAACUGUUCAUGUUGUUGGUAAACUGAUGUAUGUAAUCACACUAAAAAAUGUUUUAUAAUCUA